rnacentral:lncRNA from 1 species
GCAUACGGUGAGUUUGUGCACCGGCGAAAAUUGCGCGGUACUAGAGAGGCUAUCAAUGGUGGAAGGUGAAAGUGCAUCUAUACCAUGGAAUCACAUUAGUCAGGAAGAACUCACAUACUUGUUGCGAAAUUUGUUAUUAGUAAACGAAACAAAGUGCCAAACGCAUAUUCCUAGGGGGUUGGUAGGUGUUAACCAUCGCGCUAUCCCGACCGCAACACAAGGAAUGACAAUCCAUAGAUUAAUUAUGCUCUGACUUCCUAACAUAGAGCAUCACCAUACGUGCAUGUUACGGGAAUCACUAACUUCAACACAAGUAUUUUUAGAUCCACAACAC